rnacentral:rRNA from 1 species
UACGAAGGGGGCUAGCGUUGUUCGGAAUUACUGGGCGUAAAGGGCGCGUAGGCGGUACUUCAAGUCAGGCGUGAAAGCCCCGGGCUCAACCUGGGAACCGCGCUUGAGACUGGAGAACUAGAGUUCGGGAGAGGAUGGUGGAAUUCCCAGUGUAGAGGUGAAAUUCGUAGAUAUUGGGAAGAACACCGAUGGCGAAGGCAGCCAUCUGGACCGACACUGACGCUGAGGCACGAAAGCGUGGGGAGCAAACAGG